AUUGAACGUUGGCGGCAUGCUUUACACAUGCAAGUCGAACGGUAACAGGCCGCAAGGUGCUGACGAGUGGCGAACGGGUGAGUAAUGCAUCGGAACGUGCCCAGUCGUGGGGGAUAACGCAGCGAAAGCUGCGCUAAUACCGCAUACGAUCUAUGGAUGAAAGCGGGGGACCGAAAGGCCUCGCGCGAUUGGAGCGGCCGAUGUCAGAUUAGGUAGUUGGUGGGGUAAAGGCUCACCAAGCCAACGAUCUGUAGCUGGUCUGAGAGGACGACCAGCCACACUGGGACUGAGACACGACCCAGACUCCUACGGGAGGCAGCAGUGGGGAAUUUUGGACAAUGGGCGCAAGCCUGAUCCAGCAAUGCCGCGUGCAGGAAGAAGGCCUUCGGGUUGUAAACUGCUUUUGUACGGAACGAAACGGUCCUGGUUAAUACCUAGGGCUAAUGACGGUACCGUAAGAAUAAGCACCGGCUAACUACGUGCCAGCCGCCGCAGUAACAC
rnacentral:rRNA from 1 species